AUCCGAGGGAGAGGGGGGUGGGGGGGAGUUGUACUUGUGGCUGAAGUUUUAUAUCGGAUUGAUUGGUCAGCCACCUCCCUUCUAUCUUCCCCCUGUUUAGUCGCAGAGUAUUUGCUGGCUGGAGCGCGCUCUAAGAGGAUAAACCGACACAAGCAGGUCCACAAAGCCCUUUGUCACGCAAGGGAGGCUUUGAUCUUAAUAAACUCAAAGCUAAUUUGUCAUUUAUCAGUGGUCAUGUUCAGACGCAACAUUGCGCACACGUCUUUCCAUUCCUACAAAAGUGUACAUGUGCGGAGCUCUGGCUCUAUUGGCUCAGCUUAGGCUUGGUGGCGAAAGAGGCUGCGCAGAGUACAAGGUCUUGCCCAAGGGCGCUUCAGCCGGGCACUUGGCCUUUGAACUGAAUCUGAGACUUUUUGGACAAGGCGCGGCGCCUGGAAGUGAACACAUGGCCGAACUGCGCCGCUGUUUGCACAACACCAGGAUACACGCCAUCUCCCUCCGUCACUGCAAGUCAUCUGAGGAAUAUAAAUUCCUCCAGCAAAGCAAACGUACGCACGCACACACCCAGCGCGACAGCAAAACUGUGGCUGUGCGUCAGGACACAGACGCGUCAACACGUCAAGCAGUUUGUUUCCACGUCUCCCCGAAUGAAUAAUAUAUAACAUGUCCUUUCCGUCGAUGCCGUCGUUCAUGCAUUAGAAAUGAUGCUGGUGGAGCUGCGGCGAAGGCUGAUCUCAUAAGACGCGACAAUGGCUCAAAGUUCACACCUAUGAACUAGAACGUGAAUAAAUGAAGGAUUAACUCACUCGGCAGAACCUUUGAGGGGAGACGAUUUUAGAACGGGUCGAUUUCAGUAGUAAAACUAAAAUUAGCCGCUUAAUGAAGUGGAGUAAAAGCUGUGUGGAGCUCAAUUUCAGUUCCAGUGUUUUAUAGCCAACAUUAUGUGCUACUCUGGUAUUUGUUAUUCUGUUCAAACCAGUGUGCCAGUCCAGAAGCCAGUUUAAUUUACCUUGUCUUGGGAAUGAUUUGUCCGUAUUAUCUAAAUAAGGUGAAAUCUGGGACAUGCAGACUCUGUGCUGCUUGUCGGAAUCAGUGGACUGUGAAAUUGCAACACCAGACAGCAAGGAUAAUAGCUCAGAAGGGGGCUAAUGUCCCUGCUACAUUCACAGAACAUUUUUAUAAUGACUGAAUUAAACGGAAAAAAUAUAGAUUCAAGCUAUAUUCAGCGUUCCCCCCCCUUAUAGUUGUUUUGAUCUGUGGUUUAGCUUUCACCCGUGCAUUUCUCCAGUUAAACAUUUAAAACAGAUUUAUCUCUUCUUUAAGAGAGACAUGUCAUAUCAAGUCAGGCCUUUUCUUGUCCUCAUUUUCCCCUUUUAGGACAAUUGUCUCUCUUACUUCCUACAGUGCUGCACUGAGUUGAGCUCUGUCUCUGCUCAUCACACACCUUUUACUGCACAGAAGCACAUAUGGCAUCCAUAUACUUAUAAAGUUUUUAUAACGCACGCAAAUGUGGGCAACCAGACACACAUGAUGGGGGUUGGGGGUGGGGGGGAUUAUUGAGACAUGGUUCUGUCCUGUAAGGGAUGUCCGCAACGCCUGAUUUGUCAGGCUUUACUAUACCCAAAUUCAGCUGGUAAUACGCCUGCUUUUAGAUCAUUCCAAAAAGCCCCCCCCCCCAAAUCCCUGCGACUCACCCUUUAACACUCCGACUGGUGCUAAAACUAAUCUUUCAUCUGACUGGGGUCACCAUACUGGUGGUCUGAGCUUUCCAGCCACCGGUCCAACUCCGACCGACUCAGUCCACACCCAUCGUGAAAGCCGUGUUCUUAUUGCACAUGUUUACGAAGUAGCAUGAAUAGCUCAGAGUUUUCAUCUUAAACAUAAAGCAUAAGAAGAGGUGCUGGAAGACUCCUGUGUUAGGAGUUAGGUUUACUUAAUUUAACGCCGGACAGUUCGUUAAAAAGUUGUGCUACUUCUGGGUAAACAGCACCUAAUGGAGUUUUCAAGAAGGUUCCUGUGAUGUCGACAUGAUCACGAUAAUCCCAGCUGGUUCUCAGACUGAGAACAUGAAAUCUGUUUAAAUAAGCAUGUUUUCAUGUACUCAAGCCUGUAAACCAAAGCCAGCCCUCUUCAUUAGGAAGAUAUAGUGUUUUUAGAUUGUUUUGAUGUGGUCAGGGAGCAGACGGACCACUGGCUAAGCAUUGGAAAGAGCAGACAGACAGACAGUCCAAGCGGUUU
rnacentral:lncRNA from 1 species